rnacentral:tRNA from 2 species
UAUCUUGUGGACUAAUGGGUAAGUCAUAAAUUUUUGGUAUUUACUAAUGAGUGUUCGAAUCACUCCAAGAUAA